UACGUAGGGGGCAAGCGUUGUCCGGAAUCAUUGGGCGUAAAGCGCGUGUAGGCGGCCCGGUAAGUCCGCUGUGAAAGUCGGGGGCUCAACCCUCGGAUGCCGGUGGAUACUGUCGGGCUUGAGUACGGAAGAGGCGAGUGGAAUUCCUGGUGUAGCGGUGAAAUGCGCAGAUAUCAGGAGGAACACCGAUUGCGAAGGCAGCUCGCUGGGACGUUACUGACGCUGAGACGCGAAAGCGUGGGGAGCAAACAGG
rnacentral:rRNA from 1 species